GGGUGGAACAGUAAUCCAAGGAUAAGUUAUCCCACGAUAAAGUAAUAAAAUUGACAUUCUAGAAUUAAUACAAUAUACCAAACAAUCAAUAAGAAAUAAUACUAGGAUGACUAAUUUUAACAUAAUUAAUCUCAAUACAACUAAUCUCACCAUAAUUUAAAUUCAAACCAAACAAUCCCUAAGAGUAUACUUUUGACAUUAAUAUUUGAUUUAUCCCUUCGAUUAUCCUUUAUAGAAAUAAAUA
rnacentral:lncRNA from 1 species